UACGUAGGGCGCAAGCGUUAUCCGGAAUUAUUGGGCGUAAAGAGCUCGUAGGCGGUUUGUCACGUCGGAUGUGAAACCCCGGGGCUCAACCCCGGGCCUGCAUUCGAUACGGGCAGACUAGAGUGUGGUAGGGGAGAUCGGAAUUCCUGGUGUAGCGGUGAAAUGCGCAGAUAUCAGGAGGAACACCGGUGGCGAAGGCGGAUCUCUGGGCCAUUACUGACGCUGAGGAGCGAAAGCGUGGGGAGCGAACAGG
rnacentral:rRNA from 1 species